ACGUGUAUUCUUGGGUAAUUAACAC
rnacentral:miRNA from 1 species